CAACGAUGAUGCACCACAGACGCUUAGCUUCCAACUGGAUCCGGAGAAAUCCGUCCAAUCGCUAAAAGAGCUCAUUGAAAAGCAAAUUGGUGUCGAGGCGCGGCGUCAGCGUCUGUACAUCCGGCGAAACGUUCAGCUCUGUGACUUACUCACCCUUGAGGAGAAUGGUGUCGACAAGGAUGAAAUCAUCUCUCUCCGUCUAUCUGAAGACGAUGAGAAUUGCGACAAAGUACCAAAAGACAAAGCCGCCAUUGAUGAUGAGUACCUCAAGGACUUGUCUUUG